UUUAUUGUUGCGCGCGGUUUCGUCAGUAAACUAGCAUAGCAAAACGAGUUAUAGUGAAACACGGACGCAUGGAGUUACUAAGAACCACUGCUCCAGUCCACAUGAUUUGGGUUCUUCAGUCAUAAAGAAGGGUCGACUCUACAUCCGCCAGACUUAAAAGUCUUUGCUGCGGCUGGCAGGCGGCAGAUUGAGGAUAUUCUCGAUGGCCUCGGCGUAGCUGUCCUCGUCGUCUGCAAGGAAGCCUGUCUGGCCGCCCUCGAAAGGCACUACGAUGUCUAGCUUGGGACCUCCGGACUUGUGGGCGAGGAUGACUUUUCCUGCUGCCAUGCACUCCACGACACCUGAAGGGGAUCAGAGCGCUGUCACGUGCAAUAAAACAAACCGGUGAGUGGAGAUCUGUUACCUAUCCCAAAGUGCUCGUUCCACAUGGUGUGUAGCCCGAUAGUGGCCUCCUCCAACUCUUUCUUCAGCUCUGCAAAGGGUACGUUCAGUUUAAACUCCACCUUGUCAGCCACGCCCUGCUCCAGGCACAGCCCCCGCAACAUCAGCACCCGAUCUUGGUCCUCCUGAUUCCUGCAUCCUCCAAUUAGGAUCAGUUUUAGUGUCUCGUUGUCAUCUCUCCGUCGAGCCAACACCUUCUUGAAUGCCCUGAUCUGCAGUUUGUGGUCCUUCUCGGGCCGGAACUGCCCGAUGGAGACGAUGGAGCGGCACGUUUUCUUCCCCCCGUCCUCCUCCAACGGGAUAUCCAGGAAUGCGCUGACGUCGCAGGGCGGGUAGACAACGCUGGUGCGGUUGGGGACGUACCACAGUGAUAGAAUGUGGUCAAGUGUCCAGGAGGAGUUGACCAUGACAAGGUGACUGCAAGAGCCGGCCAUUCCGUACAGCAAGGCGAACACGCAGUAGUAGAACACCUUCACGGCGCUGAGGAACAGGUUGUUGGAGACGUAAUCUGGGUUGUUGAACCUGGGAUAAGAACAGCGAAUCAACUGUCACCACUUCAUUUAAAAUUCAGUUAUUCCCAAACACUGUUUUGAAGCCAUGAGAGAUUUUUCAAUUUGACUUAAUUGGUCAUAAAAUGCAAUCGUU